rnacentral:rRNA from 1 species
CCUACGGGUGGCAGCAGUGGGGAAUAUUGCACAAUGGGCGAAAGCCUGAUGCAGCAACGCCGCGUGAGCGAUGAAGGCCUUCGGGUCGUAAAGCUCUGUCCUCAAGGAAGAUAAUGACGGUACUUGAUGAGGAAGCCCCGGCUAACUACGUGGCAGCCGCCGCGGUAAUACGUAGGGGGCUAGCGUUAUCCUGAAUUACUGGGUGUAAAGGGUACGGAGGUGGUUUCUGAAGUCAGAGGUGAAAGGCAACGGCUCAACCGUAGUAAGCCUUUGAAAGUGGGAAACUUGAGUGCAGGAGAGGAGAGUGGAAUUCCUAGUGUAGCGGUGAAAUGCGUAGAUAUUAGGAGGAACACCAGUUGCGAGGGCGGCUCUCUGGACUGUAACUGACACUGAGGCACGAAAGCGUGGGGAGCAAACAGGAUUAGAUACCCUUGUAGUC